rnacentral:lncRNA from 1 species
CCUGAUUAUUUCUAAUGCUAAUGGAAUGGAAAGUCUCUUUGUUGGAGGAGACUUGACAUUGAUGAAGAGGUUAAAUAGACAACACCAUAAAAGCUGUGGCUGAGUUAUAGUGGAGGAGAUAACUUGUGCUCCAUUCACUCAACUUCUAACAUCACUAUGUCUUUGACAAGGCUGGAGUUUUAUAAUGGACUUGCCUAUGGAAAUAGAACUGUGGGAUGAGAAUUUUGCUGAGUUUAUGGUGUGGGAGGAUGUAAUGCUCCAGCAGUGAACGCUGCAGUGAGAAAUGGUCUUCAAGUAAUGCAUCCUUGCACUGUCACAAGAGGAACUAGAUAAACAGUGGAAUCUUCACUCUUGUUAAAUGUUUCUCCAAAAGCAAACUUAAUUUUGUUCAGACUGAAAGCAUAUGUUUGCUUUCUGAAGACGUGGAAACUGAAUCACUUUUUAAUGUUCUGCAGUUCUUAUGCACUGUUUCAGAAGGCAAUUUGCCAUUUUAUAUUACUCUUCUGGAUAAGACAGUCUCUUCCAGAACCCCCCACCUCUUCCCAUCCAGAGGAAUGGAUUACCCAGCUGAGACUUUUUCCAAUAACUGUGCAAGAAUGCAGAAUGAAUCAGAACAGUAAUUUACAUUUCAUUUGAAUGCAGGUGGUAUGUUGUGUGCCAAAGCUUUGGACUUACCUCUUACAAUGUAAUAUAACUUUGGAACAAUUGUACAGAAAGACCAAGCCUGUAACAAGUAAAGAUUAGAAAAUACUCAUCUGCUCAUGUUUUAUUUCUUCAAUCCAACUAGCUAAUUAUCUGUUUUCCAC